rnacentral:rRNA from 1 species
GACGAACGCUGGCGGCGUGCUUAACACAUGCAAGUCGAACGGAAAGGCCCUGCUUUUGUGGGGUGCUCGAGUGGCGAACGGGUGAGUAACACGUGAGUAAACUGCCCUUGUCUUUGGGAUAACUUCUGGAAACUGGGGCUCAUACCGGAUAGGAGCUCCUGCUGCAUGGUGGGGGUUGGUAAGUUUCGGCGGUUGGGGAUGGACUCGCGGCUUAUCAGCUUGUUGGUGGGGUAGUGACUUACCAAGGCUUUGACGGGUAGCCGGCCUGAGAGGGUGACCGGCCACAUUGGGACUGAGAUACGGCCCAGACGCCUACGGGAGGCAGCAGUGGGGAAUAUUGCACAAUGGGCGGAAGCCUGAUGCAGCAACGCCGCGUGCGGGAUGACGGCCUUCGGGUUGUAAACCGCUUUCGCCUGUGACGAAGCGUGAGUGACGGUAAUGGGUAAAGAAGCACCGGCUAACUACGUG